UCGAGCACGGACCGCCGAGAAUGGGCCUUC
rnacentral:sRNA from 1 species